CAUUUGGAGAGUUUGAUCCUGGCUCAGGACGAACGCUGGCGGCGUGCCUAAUACAUGCAAGUCGAGCGGAUCUCGCGUUUUCUUCGGAAAACGCUUGGUUAGCGGCGGACGGGUGAGUAACACGUGGGUAACCUGCCUGUAAGACUGGGAUAACAUUCGGAAACGAAUGCUAAUACCGGAUACGCAGCUUGGUCGCAUGACCGAACUGGGAAAGAUGGAGCAAUCUAUCACUUAUAGAUGGACCCGCGGCGCAUUAGCUAGUUGGUGAGGUAACGGCUCACCAAGGCGACGAUGCGUAGCCGACCUGAGAGGGUGAUCGGCCAC
rnacentral:rRNA from 1 species